UCUCUGUUUCGGACGUUCGAUGUAGAGGAAAAGAACAUCGUUAUGAGAUAGGCAUGUGUCCCAUUAGAGAGUUGGUGAGGUAACGGCUCACCAAGACGACGAUGGGUAGGGGAACUGAGAGGUUGAACCCCCACACUGGUACUGAGACACGGACCAGACUCCUACGGGAGGCAGCAGUGAGGAAUAUUGGUCAAUGGGCGAGAGCCUGAACCAGCCAAGUCGCGUGAAGGAUGACUGUCUUAUGGAUUGUAAACUUCUUUUAUACGGGAAUAACAAGAGUCACGUGUGACUCCCUGCAUGUACCGUAUGAAUAAGCAUCGGCUAACUCCGUGCCAGCAGCCGCGGUAAUACGGAGGAUGCGAGCGUUAUCCGGAUUUAUUGGGUUUAAAGGGUGCGUAGGCGGCCUGUUAAGUCAGCGGUGAAAUCUAGGAGCUUAACUCCUAAAUUGCCAUUGAUACUGGCGGGCUUGAGUGUAGAUGAGGUAGGCGGAAUGCGUGGUGUAGCGGUGGAAUGCAUAGAUAUCACGCAGAACUCCGAUUGCGAAGGCAGCUUACUAAGGUACAACUGACGCUGAAGCACGAAAGCGUGGGUAUCAAACAGG
rnacentral:rRNA from 1 species